rnacentral:rRNA from 1 species
GACGAACGCUGGCGGCGUGCUUAACACAUGCAAGUCGAACGGAAAGGCCCUGCUUGCCGGGUACUCGAGUGGCGAACGGGUGAGUAACACGUGGGUGAUCUGCCCUGCACUUCGGGAUAAGCCUGGGAAACUGGGUCUAAUACCGGAUAGGAGCCAUUUUUAGUGUGAUGGUUGGAAAGUUUUUUCGGUGUAGGAUGAGCUCGCGGCCUAUCAGCUUGUUGGUGGGGUAAUGGCCUACCAAGGCGGCGACGGGUAGCCGGCCUGAGAGGGUGGACGGCCACAUUGGGACUGAGAUACGGCUCAGACUCCUACGGGAGGCAGCAGUGGGGAAUAUUGCACAAUGGGCGCAAGCCUGAUGCAGCGACGCCGCGUGGGGGAUGACGGCCUUCGGGUUGUAAACUCCUUUCGCUAGGGACGAAGCUUUUUGUGACGGUACCUAGAUAAGAAGCACCGGCUAACUACGUG